CAGCAGCCGCGGGAAUACGUAGGGCGCAAGCGUUAUCCGGAAUUAUUGGGCGUAAAGAGCUCGUAGGCGGUUUGUCGCGUCUGCCGUGAAAGUCCGGGGCUCAACCCCGGAUCUGCGGUGGGUACGGGCAGACUAGAGUGAUGUAGGGGAGACUGGAAUUCCUGGUGUAGCGGUGAAAUGCGCAGAUAUCAGGAGGAACACCGAUGGCGAAGGCAGGUCUCUGGGCAUUAACUGACGCUGAGGAGCGAAAGCAUGGGGAGCGAACAGGAUUAGAUACCCCUGUAGUCCCUGUCUCUUAUAC
rnacentral:rRNA from 1 species